rnacentral:tRNA from 1 species
CGGGAUGUAGCGCAGCUUGGUAGCGCGUCUGUUUUGGGAACAGAAGGUCACGUGUUCAAAUCACGUCAUCCCGA